rnacentral:rRNA from 1 species
AGCGAACGCUGGCGGCAAGCCUCAUACAUGCAAGUCGAACGCGAAAGUGUAGCAAUACAUGAGUAAAGUGGCAAACGGGUGCGUAACACGUGGGAAUCUACCCUUUGGUUCGGAAUAGCUCCGGGAAACUGGAAUUAAUACCGGAUAAGGUCUACGGACGAAAGAUUUAUCGCCGAAGGAUGAGCCCGCGCCGGAUUAGCUAGUUGGUAAGGUAAAAGCUUACCAAGGCAACAAUCCGUAGCUGGUCUGAGAGGAUGAUCAGCCACACUGGGACUGAGAUACGGCCCAGACUCCUACGGGAGGCAGCAGUAGGGAAUAUUGGACAAUGGACGCAAGUCUGAUCCAGCUAUGCCGCGUGAGUGAAGAAGGCCUUCGGGUUGUAAAGCUCUUUGAGUAGAGAAAAUAAUGAUGGUAUCUACAGAACAAGCCCCGGCUAACUUCGUGCCAGCCGCCGCCGUAA